GUUGGAGGGAAAGGGAAUCUUGGGGAUCUUUUGAAGUCGGCGUAAAAGCGAAAGAGACAGAGAGAGCGCGAUUUGAUCAGGGAAAUACUUUUGAAGUUGGCAUGUGUGUGUGUGUGUCACUGAAGCCGUUCAUACCUACAAACAUACGUACAUAACCUCUCUCUCUCUCUCUCUCUCUCUCUCUCUCUCUC